UACGUAGGGGGCAAACGUUGUCCGGAUUUACUGGGUGUAAAGGGUGCUCAGGCGGUCUUGUAAGUCAGAAGUGAAAUCCUAGAGCUUAACUCUGGAACUGCUUUUGAUACUGCAAGGCUUGAAUAUGGAAGAGGAGGGUGGAAUUUCUGGUGUAGCAGUGAAAUGCGUAGAUAUCAGAAAGAACACCAGUGGCGAAGGCGGCCCUCUGGAACGGUACUGACGCUGAGACGCGAAAGCGUGGGGAGCGAACAGG
rnacentral:rRNA from 1 species